AUUUCCCUUUGUUUGUGCCCUUCGUUUACACUCAAACAGAGAAUUCACCUCUGAAAACAAGUCUUUCUAAAACCUCUGGCCAGAGUGUAUAUUUUUGUGAUCG